rnacentral:rRNA from 1 species
GCAAGCGUUGUCCGGAAUUAUUGGGCGUAAAGAGCUCGUAGGUGGUUUGUCGCGUUGUUCGUGAAAUCUCACGGCUUAACUGUGAGCGUGCGGGCGAUACGGGCAGACUAGAGUACUGCAGGGGAGACUGGAAUUCCUGGUGUAGCGGUGGAAUGCGCAGAUAUCAGGAGGAACACCGAUGGCGAAGGCAGGUCACUGGGCCGCAACUGACGCUGAGGAGCGAAAGCAUGGGGAGCGAACAGG